GCAUUUUCCAGGUUCAGUAAGCAUCGUCUUUGCAGAGGGCAGAAACUGUUCCUGGCAUACUUUAUAUACCCAGAAAGGCAAUAAACAUCUUCUGUGAGUCCUCAUCCAUUUGACGUCUGGAGCAGUGGAAUAGAACUCAACUGGUUGACUGAUCCCUCCUUUUCCACCUACUAAGGUGAAAUCUGAACAAUUCAAGAAGAUGGCUUGAGUUUCUUCUAUUUGGGAUAAAAGACAUAUUUCACAGACUUAAUUACAGGUUCCAGCAAACGAAGUAAUAAUUGGAAUAGCAAAGGCAAACCAAACAUCUGUUCUUUCUCAUCCUUUUGUGAAAAGUAGAAGCAAUGGGAGAAUAGUCAGAUUAUUGGUUUCAUGCGUUGGAAAUGUUGUGCCUGGAAUUAUUAUACAGCAUUCCCAGGAUGACUGAGCAUGGGAAACCUCAGAUCAGUGUACAGGCAUUUUAUGAGAGGAAAAACCCUUUCUGAUUCCGAGCUUCAUGGGAGAAAACAAUGAACACAGAAGAUACUUGCUCUCUGAAUUGGGUAAGAACAAAAUGUUUUGUAAGAAAAAAUAAA